rnacentral:rRNA from 1 species
CAGUCGCCACGGGAAUACGGAGGGUGCAAGCGUUAAUCGGAAUUACUGGGCGUAAAGCGCACGCAGGCGGUCUGACAAGUCAGAUGUGAAAUCCCCGGGCUUAACCUGGGAACUGCAUUUGAAACUGUCAGGCUGGAGUCUUGUAGAGGGGGGUGGAAUUCCAGGUGUAGCGGUGAAAUGCGUAGAGAUCUGGAGGAAUACCGGUGGCGAAGGCGGCCCCCUGGACAAAGACUGACGCUCAGGUGCGAAAGCGUGGGGAGCAAACAGGAUUAGAUACCCGAGUAGUCCCUGUCUCUUAUAC